CCUCGGGAGGGGGCUGCAGGGGGCGGAGCCGUCCCGAGGGCGGCUGGCCUCCCCGGGGCGCCGCGCCGCGCGCUCGGGUUCCCACACCGCCCUCCUCCCGAGCCCUCGUCGUGUGGCUUCGGUCGCUACCGAGCCGCGCCUCCUCCGCUUCCUCUUCCUCCUCCUCCUGGCUGCCCUCGAGAGGCGCCGCCGCUUCCUGCGGUGCUGAAGGGCUGGGGUACGGGCCUGGGCCUACAGCGCGGCGGCGCAGAGAGCCGGCUGGUCGUUGACUUGAGGGGUUGGGGGCCGCGACGGCGCUCCAGCCAGGGCGCCUCGGUUGACUGGCAGUUCUGCUUCACAUGGCCACAGGCACAGCUGGAAGUUCCAGAAUGGCUUCCCUCACACGGCAGGCAGUUGGUGCAGGCUAGAGGCUGCCUUAGAAUGGUCGUGGGUCAGGGGCCUUGGCUCUUCUCCACUCGGACCUCUCCAUAAAGGCCUUUCACACGACUGCUUGAAUUGCCUCACAAACUGGAGGAAGUGCCAGUGUCGGCGGCAAAACUCAUCUCCCCAAGGAUGCCCAUCUGUGAGCACAUGGAAGAGUUUCCUGUCUGUUCCCAGACAUCCAACCUGGUCUGUGGCACCGAUGGUGUUACGUAUAACAAUGAAUGUCAGAUCUGUUUGAUCCGGCUGUAAGUCCACCCCACUCCUUCCCCUCAGCUUGCUUGGGUGGGCCCCACUUCCAGUACAUUCAAGUGUGAAAGGAGCAAGACUUGACCUGCCCCUUCCUUCACACACCUUGGACUGAGAAGAGUCCUCCGACAUUGGCCCGAACAGAAUGAGCACAAGUAUAUUUCAAAGAAAGCACAUGGUUCUAAGUACAAAGCCACAACUAGUAGGGGGUUGGGGAGGGUGCAGAAACCCUGGGUUCUUUCCCUCGUUCUGCGCUUGACCGACUAGGUGACUUCAUUUGUUCAUUUAUUCCUCCAGCCAACAAUUAUUUAUUGAACAUCUACUAUAUGCUAGGCACUGGGCAUACAACAGGGCAUAAGCUAGACAGCAACCCUGGCCUUCUGGGGGCAUAUGGUUUAAGGAGAAAGCCAAGCUAAUGGUCCACCAACUGUGUAGCAUAGAAUGCUCAAGGCUCAGAUGGGGGCACCCAGGGUUCUGUGAGUGCAGGGCAAGGACAAGGGCAGGGAAGACUUUCCAGCUCAGCUCUGAAAGAUAAGUUGAAAUUAGCUUGGAAAAAAAAAGGAAGAAGGAAAGGUAAUUCCAAGUAGUGAAAUGAGUUUGGAAAGGUCUAAAAGGGAAAGAAAUGUUUGUAUUUGAGAAAAUAUAAGAAAUUGGAUAUGCUGGAGUAUAAAGUUUAAAGACUGAGUGGGGAGAGGCAAGAAAUGAGUCUUGAGAGGUGAGAAGGGCCAGAACGUGACUUUGGUAUGUCUGAUCACCUAUUCGAUCUCCUUUCUUCAUUAAUAAAACCCUUGGGCUGGGCCAGAACUAGGUGAGAUCAUGGAAGAGAAGACAGUCUUCAGAAGCUACAGCACUCUGGACAGAGAGGCAGGAAAGCGACAGGACACUUUCCUAACUUA